AUAGAAAGGGAAAGGGAGAGAGGGAAUAUGAAGAGAAAGGGAAAGAGGAGGCUGGCCCGCAGGUACCCAGAAGCAUUCUGCCUGCAGACAGGACGCCACGAAGCAGGGCAGGUCCAGACGGGGCAGUGAUGCAGUGGGAGCCAUUGCCUGGGGGGAGAUGUGUGAGCUGGGAAGGCCCCAGAUGUGCUACCCUGAGGCGGGACUUCCUUGCAGGGGAGGGGUGUGGAGAGGACCGAGGCCUCAGUCUGCUCAGAGAUGGGGAUUUCCCUGCUGCUAACAGAAAAGUCCUCCCUUCCAAAGCUGUGUACCAACACCAGGACACCUAGCACAGCACUUCGCACUUGUUUCUCAUGGGAUGUGUUGACAGGAACAAAGCCAGCAGCAGAGGUCUGUUCAUGCACAGCACAGUGAGCAGGCGACGGCAGAGCACAGCUGUAUGCAAGCCAAUGUUAGCCGGCUGGAAAAUGAGGUACCAUGAGGAAGAGAACCAAGGUGCCCAGUAAACAUCUCCAUGGACAGAAGCUCAGUCUCCACAUAGCAGUGUGUUGAUGGGUGCUUGGGGAUAUGACUAAAUUCAAGAGGAAUAA